ACCUGUGUGUGGAUGGUGUUCAGCACCAAGAACUCUUUUGACCUAUGUGUGAAUGGUGUUCAACACCAAGGACAGCUGUCUUUAAUC
rnacentral:pre_miRNA from 1 species